CUCAGGAGAAGAAGACCGCCUGUGAGCGCUAUAAGGAGGUGUAUAUGGAGCUGAGUGGGAUGAAGUCUCGCAGUGAGCGGGAGAUCGAGACCCUGCGGGAGCACCUCAGACUCGCCAUGGCCGCGCUGCAGGAGGGACAGUCGCUGGGCAACAGUCUGGCCGACUGAGAGGGAGAGGGAGAGUUUUUCAGCCACGCUGGCUCUUUGGGAGAUGGUCCCUGAUGUCUACAGGCUUACGUUUUUGGAUCCAGCGUGGAAAACUGAGAGAGUGCCUUAGCCUCCGUUUCAUCAGCCAAUGGGAAGCCAAGACUGGUACCAGCUGAUCGUCACCGGGGGCCUUUUAGUUUAGCGGUUUUUACGUCGUCUUCCCGUUCUUCUGUCUGCCUUUGAGAACAGAUGUGGAGCCGCCCGCUGUGCGCCUGGAGUCCGUGAUUGUAGCGGAGUUUGCGAAGCUCCGAUAGUGGUGGUCAAGCAGGAGAGCCCCAGCUUCAGGUGUUCGGUGAGGUCAAAGUAUCGGUUUGGGGCAAAGAGGCAAUCUGUGAAUUUUCAAUGUUGCAUCAAACCCUCUUUGUUUUUGGUUUUUUUUAAAAGUCUAAUUUCUCCCUGCAGGCCUGACACAAGGCCCGUCUCGCUGUUGUUCCCCUGUGUGGCCCAGGUGGCCGGACAGGUGCACACGCUCCUCUCUGGGGCUGGUGGGCAGCUCUCCCCACUACAGGCUCCUCCAGGCCAGCUCUCGCCCUCAGGGUCUCAGGCCCACCGCCAGGAGAGCUGGUCACCAGCUACUAACCAGGUGGUUGUGAAGGCCAUGGACAGGGCAUGUACUGGCCAUGGACUGGCAACAAUCUGGUUGGAAACUACUAAAGGAUAGGUCACCAACUACUGGUGAACAAGUCAUGAAUGACCAACAGUCUGGUUGGUAACUACUAAUGAACAGGUCAUGAACUACUAAUGAACAGCUCGUGAAGUGCUCAUGGACUACUGACGAUCUGGUUAUUAAUGAACGAACUGGUCCUGCACUCUUAAUGAACGGGUCCUGAACUACUAAUGGACGUGUUGGGAACUGGGAUCCGGGGAGACGGACUGAUUUGGGGAGAGCACACGGGAAUGAGGUAAACUCAAAGGGGCCCGUGCGCUACACGCUGGGCAGCCCCCCCCUGUCAGUGACACACACUGGACGGGCGACCCCACAAACUGCACUUUUAGUACGAUGGGUGGAUGGACAAGAGGGGCCCCAACAUAUUUGUAUAGAUUUUAAUUUCGCUGCUCUGGGGAGUUUUAGAUCAGACUUUGAUUUGGCUUUUUUAGAAGACCGCAAUUCCUUACAGACAGACCGGAAAUGUGAGACAAGUCCGUGCACAGCCAGUCCUUGCACCUGAGCUUCCUGUUACUGAGCAUUAAACCCUGGAAAACCACUACUGGAUGAAGUUGUUAAGGGGAGAGAGGGGUGUAUGGGGCUGUGCAGGACUGGGGUGGCUGUGGAGGUCGGGCACAGGGCUGGGAAUGUGUCACGAGGCCUGACGCUGCCCUGGUGUGACAGAGUGACGUUUGUGAAGAACAGGACGAGUGACCUUGGUUCGCUUAAAGAGAGGUGGGGGGGAUGUAUUUUUAAAAAGAUGUGAAGAAAAACAGGACUUGUGGAGUGUUAAGGUGAAACCGUUUAGCGUGAGAGAAGAGGAGGAGAGUUUUUCUUAACGGAAUUAUUAAGCGGGAGGGGGGAGUGUUUUUCAAGAUCUUGACCAAAAAGGUAAAAUGUCUGUUUUUUUUUUUAAAAGAAUCUCCUUGUUUUUUUUUAAAUGUUUUUAGAGGUUAUGUCCUGUUUGGUCAGUGCAGUCCUGCUCCAGACUGUACUGCCUUUACUGUAAAGUGCCCUUUACUGUAACCCUGCCCUGUGUGCUGGGCAGGGACUGUAGGUUUACACAUGCCUGGCUCUCCCAGUCUGUCAGCUAUGCUCUCUAGAGUCUCCCUCCCUCCAUCCUUCUGUUUGUGUCUCCGGUCCUCAGCCGUUACCUCCUCUGGCUUGAUGUGGUUCCUCAGGGGUUAAUGCAGAAUCCCUGGAGCAAUUAAGAUAGGUCCUAAAACAGACCCUAGAGACACACCUAAUACUGAAAGAUUAAUUUAAGCCCUACAACAUAUCAUAGAGAGAUGUAAUAAAAAUAAAUUAAUAUAGAUCCUAGAACGGACCAGAGCCAUAACUUUACAGAUGAACACAAGCCCUCUUAUAGACCCUAGACCCUGACAGAGCUCAGCACAAGGUUUAAAUCUGGCCCAGAGUUCAUAGCUGACAGCCAGAGGAGGAGGAUGGAGGGAGACGGAAAGCAAGGCAGGGGAGAGGAAGAGUGGGGAUACUUGGUGCUCUCACACAGCCGUCCCUGACCCGGAUCGGCUGUUUGGGAAAGGUCCGGCCCUGCUCGGCGGUGCUGCUCUGACAGCCCAGGAUGGGGCUGGAUAACCUGGAGUCGCCCUGGGGGCUGUGCUUCUCCAGCUGGGGCAGACCUGCGUGCUCCACCCCACCCAUGAGGAGCGAUUCCUUGCCAGCGAACACGUGAACGUUUUCCCAGUAACCGCGGCGUGCGCCAGCGCUCGAUGGGUGCUGUGAGGGUUUCGGAAGGCCCAGAUCAAGCUCGCCGGCCGUAGCUGGACCUGACCGGGACCCUCCCCGAGCGGAGAAGCGUUUACACCGCCGGAGUAGAGCAGGAGUGAGACCUGAUCAGAAACGGCAGUGUGAACGCCUUGGACCGAGUUCGGUUUGUCUUGGUGGCGUUUGUCGUGCAGCAGUCGGUGAUGCUUCAGUGAGCCAGCAGAUCUGUGUUUUGGGAGGGUUAACAGGUCAGUCUCGUACAACUGGAUUCAUACCUUUUAUUAUUAUUGACAGAGUGUUACAUUUUUUUAUAUUUAAGUACAUAUCUAUAUAUAAAGUAUCAAUGUUUUGCAAUCAAUAAAAUUAUAGCAAAAGUA